rnacentral:rRNA from 1 species
UACGUAGGGUGCGAGCGUUGUCCGGAAUUAUUGGGCGUAAAGAGCUCGUAGGCGGUUUGUUGCGUCUAUCGUGAAAACCUGCAGCUUAACUGUGGGCUUGCGGUGGAUACGGGCAGACUUGAGUUCGGUAGGGGAGACUGGAAUUCCUGGUGUAGCGGUGAAAUGCGCAGAUAUCAGGAGGAACACCGGUGGCGAAGGCGGUUCUCUGGGCCUGUACUGACGCUGAGGAACGAAAGCGUGGGGAGCGAACAGG